rnacentral:siRNA from 1 species
GCAGUUAUCCUCGGUAAUGGCUG